rnacentral:tRNA from 1 species
GUGCCCAUAGCUCAGCUGGAUAGAGCGUCAGACUCCGACUCUGAAGGCCGAAGGUUCGAAUCCUUUUGGGCACG